rnacentral:rRNA from 1 species
UACAGAGGGGGCAAGCGUUAUUCGGAAUUAUUGGGCGUAAAGGGCGCGUAAACGGCUUUGCAAGUGACAAAUGAAAUCCCUCGGCUUAACCGAGGAACUGCCUGUCAAACUGCAUGGCUUGAGACCGGGAGAGGUGAGUGGAAUUCCCAGUGUAGCGGUGAAAUGCGCAGAUAUCGGGAGGAACACCAGUAGCGAAGGCGGCUCGCUGGGCCAUUCCUGACGCUGAGACGCGAAAGCUAGGGGAGCGAACAGG